rnacentral:misc_RNA from 1 species
GAUGAAGAACGCAGCGAAAUGCGAUAAGUAGUGUGAAUUGCAGAAUUCAGUGAAUCAUCGAAUCUUUGAACGCUCAUUGCGCCCCUUGGUAUUCCAUGGGGCAUGCCUGUUCGAGCGUCAUUUGUACCUUCAAGCUUUGCUUGGUGUUGGGUGUUUGUCCCGAGGGACUCGCCUUAAAGUAAUUGGCAGCCAGUGUUUGGUUUUGAAGCGCAGCAGAAGUCGCGAUUCAAGGCUACACGCCCGCUUCCACAAGCCUUUUUUCACUUUUGACCUCGGAUCAGGUAGGGAUACCCGCUGAACUUAAGCAUAUCAAUAAGCGGAGGA